AGGAUUCCCCUAGUAACUGCGAGUGAAGCGGGAAAAGCUCAAAUUUAAAAUCUGGCGGUUUUGGCCGUCCGAGUUGUAGUCUGGAGAAGUGCUUUCUGUGCUGGACCGUGUACAAGUCUCUUGGAACAGAGCGUCAUAGAGGGUGAGAAUCCCGUCUUUGACACGGACUACCAGUGCUUUGUGAUGCGCUCUCAAAGAGUCGAGUUGUUUGGGAAUGCAGCUCAAAAUGGGUGGUGAAUUCCAUCUAAAGCUAAAUAUUGGCGAGAGACCGAUAGCGAACAAGUACCGUGAGGGAAAGAUGAAAAGCACUUUGGAAAGAGAGUUAAACAGUACGUGAAAUUGCUAAAAGGGAAACGCUUGAAGUCAGUCGCGUUGUCCGAAACUCAGCCUUGCCUUGGCUUGGUGUAUUUUUCGGUUAACGGGUCAGCAUCGAUUUUGACCGAUGGAUAAAGGUCAGGGGAAUGUGGCACCUUCGGGUGUGUUAUAGCCUCUGAUUGUAUACAUCGGUUGGGAUCGAGGAACUCAGCUUCGGCUUAGGAUGCUGGCAUAAUGGCUUUAAACGACCCGUCUUGAAACACGGACCAAGGAGUCUAACAUGCCCGCGAGUGUUUGGGUGGUAAACUCAGGCGCGUAAUGAAAGUGAAUGUUGAGACCUCUGUCGUGGAGGGCAUCAACGCCCGGACCUGACGUUCUCUGACGGCUCCGCGGUAGAGCGUGUAUGUUGGGACCCGAAAGAUGGUGAACUAUGCCUGAAUAGGGUGAAGCCAGAGGAAACUCUGGUGGAGGCUCGUAGCGAUUCUGACGUGCAAAUCGAUCGUCAAAUUUGGGUAUAGGGGCGAAAGACUAAUCGAACCAUCUAGUAGC
rnacentral:rRNA from 1 species